rnacentral:rRNA from 1 species
CCUACGGGAGGCAGCAGUGGGGAAUUUUGGACAAUGGGCGCAAGCCUGAUCCAGCAAUGCCGCGUGAGUGAAGAAGGCCUUCGGGUUGUAAAGCUCUUUUGUCAGGGAAGAAACGGUCUACUCUAAUACAGUGGGCUAAUGACGGUACCUGAAGAAUAAGCACCGGCUAACUACGUGCCAGCAGCCGCGGUAAUACGUAGGGUGCAAGCGUUAAUCGGAAUUACUGGGCGUAAAGCGUGCGCAGGCGGUUAUAUAAGUCAGAUGUGAAAUCCCCGGGCUCAACCUGGGAACUGCAUUUGAGACUGUAUGGCUAGAGUGUGUCAGAGGGGGGUAGAAUUCCACGUGUAGCAGUGAAAUGCGUAGAUAUGUGGAGGAAUACCGAUGGCGAAGGCAGCCCCCUGGGAUAACACUGACGCUCAUGCACGAAAGCGUGGGGAGCAAACAGGAUUAGAUACCCUGGUAGUCCACGCCCUAAACGAUGUCUACUAGUUGUCGGGACUUAAUUGUCUUGGUAACGCAGCUAACGCGUGAAGUAGACCGCCUGGGGAGUACGGUCGCAAGAUUAAAACNCAAAAUGAAAUUGACGG